GAGGGUAUAGCUCAGCCGUAGAGUACAUGCUUAGCAUGCACAAGGUCCUGAGUUCAAUCCCCAGUACCUCUA
rnacentral:tRNA from 1 species